GAAGAUAGGGAUCAAAGACAUCAGUACGUCGUGUCAUCUUUAACUAUCGAUAGGAUGAUGGAAUUACAUUCAAGUACUUAGAGAAUCAAGUUCUGGUCUGGCGGCGAGUAGGCGCAAGACUGAACUUAAAGAGAAAUGACGGAAGGCACAUCAGGAGUGAACUGCGGCUUAAUUUGACUCAACACGGGGAGACUUAGCAGGUCCAGACAUAGUACGGAUUGACAGAUGAUAGCUCUUCAUGAUACUAUGAGGAGGUGGUGCAUGCCGGUCUUAGUUGGUGGGAGGGGAAUGUCUGGCCUGCCUUUGCUUCUGUUUCUUACCUGCUAACUAGUCUUUUCUAAUCCCGAUAGACAUUGACCUUCUUAGAGGGACUAUGUGCUCUAAGCACAUGGAAGUUUGAGGCAAUAACAGGUCUGUGAUGCCCUUAUAUGUCCUGGAAAGACAACGCGUGAUACACUGAUGCAUACAACAAGUCCCAAGCCAGUCAUGGCAUGGUAAUCUCUAAUAUGCAUCGUGAUGGGGAUUGAUCUUGCAAUUAUAGAUCAUGAACGAGGAAUUCCUAAUAAGUGCAAGUCAUCAUCUUGCAUAGAUUAUGUCCCUGCCCUUUGUACACACCGCCCGUCGCUCCUACCGAUACCGGGUGAACCGGAGGAACCUUUGGACCUCGCAAGAGGAAAAAUAAGUAAACCAUAUCACCUAGAGGAAUAGAAG
rnacentral:rRNA from 1 species